rnacentral:rRNA from 1 species
UACGAAGGGGGCGAGCGUUGUUCGGAAUUACUGGGCGUAAAGGGCGCGUAGGCGGCGACCCAAGUCAGAUGUGAAAGUCCUGGGCUUAACCUGGGGACUGCAUUUGAUACUGGGUUGCUUGAAUCCGGGAGAGGGACGUGGAAUUCCAGGUGUAGCGGUGAAAUGCGUAGAUAUCUGGAGGAACACCGAUGGCGAAGGCAGCUUACUGGGCCGAUACUGACGCUGAGGAGCGAAAGCGUGGGGAGCAAACAGG